rnacentral:rRNA from 1 species
CGGGUGAGUAACACGUGGAUAACCUACCUAUAAGACUGGGAUAACUUCGGGAAACCGGAGCUAAUACCGGAUAAUAUUUUGAACCGCAUGGUUCAAAAGUGAAAGACGGUCUUGCUGUCACUUAUAGAUGGAUCCGCGCUGCAUUAGCUAGUUGGUAAGGUAACGGCUUACCAAGGCAACGAUGCAUAGCCGACCUGAGAGGGUGAUCGGCCACACUGGAACUGAGACACGGUCCAGACUCUUACGGGAGGCAGCAGGA